rnacentral:sRNA from 1 species
AGGCUCAGGGCAUCUGCAGCUGGGCUGAGAAGCAGGGCAUGGUGGGGUCCCCAGUGUUGGCUUUCUCUGCCCCCACUCAGGGAAGCUGCUCCGGGGUACUUAGAAUGUAGGAUGAUGCUGUCCCUUGCAGAGGGGGCUGGGGCACUUAGAGCCCCAGCAGAGGGUCAUUAACAGCCCUACCUGGAAGAGGGGACCUGCUGUGGACCUGGGCACCUUCUCUUGCAGGGUGAGUUCUGCAGUCAGGGUGUCCGUGAGGGCCUCAUCGUGGGCUUCAUCCACUCUAUGUGCCAGACGGCUCAGAGCUUCUGCGACAGCCCUGGGGAGAAGGGGGGUGCCACACCACCUGCCCUGCUCCUGCUGCUCUCCCGCCUCUGCCUGGACUACGAGACGGCCACCAUCUCCUACAUCCUCACUCUCACUGAUGAACAGUUUCUGGUGCAGGAUCAGUUCCCAGUGACGCCUGUGAGCACACUGUGUGCAGAGGCCAGGGAAACGGCGCGGCGGCUGCUGACCCACUACGUGAAGGUGCAGGGCCUGGUCAUAUCACAGAUGCUGCGCAAGAGCGUGGAGACUCGCGACUGGCUCAGCACUCUG